AGGAAUAUUGGUCAAUGGACGUAAGUCUGAACCAGCCAAGUCGCGUGAGGGAAGACUGCCCUAUGGGUUGUAAACCUCUUUUAUAAGGGAAGAAUAAGUUCUACGUGUAGAAUGAUGCCUGUACCUUAUGAAUAAGCAUCGGCUAACUCCGUGCCAGCAGCCGCGGUAAUACGGAGGAUGCGAGCGUUAUCCGGAUUUAUUGGGUUUAAAGGGUGCGUAGGCGGUUUAUUAAGUUAGUGGUUAAAUAUUUGAGCUAAACUCAAUUGUGCCAUUAAUACUGGUAAACUGGAGUACAGACGAGGUAGGCGGAAUAAGUUAAGUAGCGGUGAAAUGCAUAGAUAUAACUUAGAACUCCGAUAGCGAAGGCAGCUUACCAGACUGUAACUGACGCUGAUGCACGAGAGCGUGGGUAGCGAACAGGAUUAGAUACCCUGGUAGUCCACGCCGUAAACGAUGCUCACUGGUUCUGUGCGAUAUAUUGUACGGGAUUAAGCGAAAGUAUUAAGUGAGCCACCUGGGGAGUACGUCGGCAACGAUGAAACUCAAAGGAAUUGACGGGGGCCCGCACAAGCGGAGGAACAUGUGGUUUAAUUCGAUGAUACGCGAGGAACCUUACCUGGGUUUAAAUGGGAAAUGCCGUAUUUGGAAACAGAUAUUCUCUUCGGAGCGUUUUUCAAGGUGCUGCAUGGUUGUCGUCAGCUCGUGCCGUGAGGUGUCGGGUUAAGUCCCAUAACGAGCGCAACCCUUACCGUUAGUUGCUAGCAUGUAAUGAUGAGCACUCUAACGGGACUGCCACCGUAAGGUGAGAGGAAGGCGGGGAUGACGUCAAAUCAGCACGGCCCUUACACCCAGGGCUACACACGUGUUACAAUGGCCGGUACAGAGGGCCGCUACCAGGUGACUGGAUGCCAAUCUCAAAAGCCGGUCGUAGUUCGGAUUGGAGUCUGUAACCCGACUCCAUGAAGUUGGAUUCGCUAGUAAUCGCGCAUCAGCCAUGGCGCGGUGAAUACGUUCCCGGGCCUUGUACACCCCGCCCGUCAAGCCAUGGAAGCCGGGGGUGCCUGAAGUCCGUAACCGCGAGGAUCGGCCUAGGGCAAAACUGGUAACUGGGGCUAAGUCGUAACAAGGUAGCCGUACCGGAAGGUGCGGCUG
rnacentral:rRNA from 1 species